AUUGAACGCUGGCGGAAUGCUUUACACAUGCAAGUCGAACGGUANAGGGGGCAACCCCUUGAGAGUGGCGAACGGGUGAGUAAUAUAUCGGAACGUGCCCAGUAGUGGGGGAUAGCCCGGCGAAAGCCGGAUUAAUACCGCAUACGACCUAAGGGUGAAAGGGGGGGAUCGCAAGACCUCUCGCUAUUGGAGCGGCCGAUGUCAGAUUAGCUAGUUGGUGGGGUAAAAGCCCACCAAGGCGACGAUCUGUAGCUGGUCUGAGAGGACGACCAGCCACACUGGGACUGAGACACGGCCCAGACUCCUACGGGAGGCAGCAGUGGGGAAUUUUGGACAAUGGGCGCAAGCCUGAUCCAGCAAUGCCGCGUGCAGGAAGAAGGCCUUCGGGUUGUAAACCGCUUUUGGUCGGGAAGAAAAGGCAUCUCUUAAUACGGGGUGUUCUUGACGGUACCGGCAGAAUAAGCACCGGCUAACUACGUG
rnacentral:rRNA from 1 species